rnacentral:tRNA from 1 species
GCCGCUGUAGUUCAAUGGAUAGAAUAGGAGUUUCCUAAACUCUAGAUCCUGGUUCGAUUCCGGGCAGCGGUA